rnacentral:lncRNA from 1 species
GUGAAUUGUGCUGCUAUGAACAUCGAUGUGGCAGUAUCCCUGUAGUACGCUCUUUUAAGGUCUUCAGGGAAUAGUCCGAGAAGGGCAAUAGCUGGGUCAAAUGGUGGUUCCAUUCCCAGCUUUCCCAGGAAUCUCCAUACUGCUUUCCAAAUUGGCCGCACCAGUUUGCAGUCCCACCAGCAAUGUGCAAGAGUACCCUUUUCCCCACAUCCUCGCCAGCACUUGUUGUUGUUUGACUUCAUAAUGGCUGCCAAUCUUACUGGAGUGAGAUGGUAUCUUAGGGUGGUUUUGAUUUGCAUUUCUCUGACUGCUAGAGAUGGUGAGCAUUUUUUCAUGUACUUGUUGAUUGAUUGUAUGUCCUCCUCUGAGAAGUGUCUGUUCAGGUCCUUGGCCCAUUUGUUGAUUGGGUUAUUUGUUUUCUUAUUGUUUAAUUUUUUGAGUUCUUUGUAUACUCUGGAUAUUAGGGCUCUAUCUGAAGUGUGAGGAGUAAAAAUUUGUUCCCAUGAUGUAGGCUCCCUAUU